rnacentral:rRNA from 1 species
GGUGGUUUGUCGCGUCGUCUGUGAAAUUCCGGGGCUUAACUCCGGGCGUGCAGGCGAUACGGGCAUAACUUGAGUACUGUAGGGGAGACUGGAAUUCCUGGUGUAGCGGUGAAAUGCGCAGAUAUCAGGAGGAACACCGGUGGCGAAGGCGGGUCUCUGGGCAGUAACUGACGCUGAGGAGCGAAAGCAUGGGGAGCGAACAGGAUUAGAUACCCUGGUAGUCCAUGCCGUAAACGGUGGGCGCUAGGUGUGGGUUUCCUUCCACGGGAUCCGUGCCGUAGCUAACGCAUUAAGCGCCCCGCCUGGGGAGUACGGCCGCAAGGCUAAAACUCAAAGGAAUUGACGGGGGCCCGCACAAGCGGCGGAGCAUGUGGAUUAAUUCGAUGCAACGCGAAGAACCUUACCUGGGCUUGACAUAUACAGGAUCGCGCCAGAGAUGGUGUUUCCCUUGUGGCUUGUAUACAGGUGGUGCAUGGUUGUCGUCAGCUCGUGUCGUGAGAUGUUGGGUUAAGUCCCGCAACGAGCGCAACCCUUGUCUUAUGUUGCCAGCACGUUGUGGUGGGGACUCGUAAGAAACUGCCGGGGUUAACUCGGAGGAAGGUGGGGAUGACGUCAAAUCAUCAUGCCCCUUAUGUCCAGGGCUUCACACAUGCUACAAUGGUCGGUACAGUGGGUUGCCAGUCCGUGAGGGCGAGCUAAUCCCGUAAAGCCGGUCUCAGUUCGGAUCGGGGUCUGCAACUCGACCCCGUGAAGUCGGAGUCGCUAGU